UGGGGUAAAGAAGGUGUUGGGGUUAAAAAUGAAUUUAGAGAGAGAGAGAGAGAGAGAGAGAGAGAGAGAGAGAGAUAAGAAGGUGUUGGGGUUAAAAAUGAAUUUAGAGAGAGAGAGAGAGAGAGAGAGAGAGAGAGAGAUAAGAGGAUAGGGUGAGGUGGUGGGGCGGUAGGAAGCGAACAUGAUCACAAGAAUUUAAGCGUCGUGGUAGGGGGUUGUG
rnacentral:lncRNA from 1 species